rnacentral:rRNA from 1 species
AUGCCGCGUGUGUGAUGAAGGCCUUAGGGUCGUAAAGCACUUUCGCCAGAGAUGAUAAUGACAGUAUCUGGUAAAGAAACCCCGGCUAACUCCGUGCCAGCAGCCGCGGUAAUACGGAGGGGGUUAGCGUUGUUCGGAAUUACUGGGCGUAAAGCGUACGUAGGCGGAUCAGAAAGUAGGGGGUGAAAUCCCAGGGCUCAACCCUGGAACUGCCUCCUAAACUCCUGGUCUUGAGUUCGAGAGAGGUGAGUGGAAUUCCAAGUGUAGAGGUGAAAUUCGUAGAUAUUUGGAGGAACACCAGUGGCGAAGGCGGCUCACUGGCUCGAUACUGACGCUGAGGUACGAAAGUGUGGGGAGCAAACAGGAUUAGAUACCCUG